rnacentral:misc_RNA from 1 species
GAUGAAGAACGCAGCGAAAUGCGAUAAGUAAUGUGAAUUGCAGAAUUCAGUGAAUCAUCGAAUCUUUGAACGCACCUUGCGCCCUUUGGCCAUUCCGAAGGGCAUGCCUGUUUGAGUAUCAUGAACACCUCAACUCUUUAUGGUUUUCCAUGAUGAGCUUGGACUUUGGGGGUUUUGCUGGCCUAUGGUCGGCUCCUCUAAAAUAAAUCAGCUUACCGGUGUUUGGUGGGUAUCAUGGGUGUGAUAACUAUCUACGCUUGUGGUUUUUCCACCAGGUAACCUUCGACAGCGGAGGUUCACUGGAGCUCAUAGAUGUCUCUCCUCAGCGAGGACAGCCCUUUAAUGUUUGAUCUCAAAUCAGGUAGGACUACCCGCUGAACUUAAGCAUAUCAAUAAGCGGAGGA